AUGACGUCAAAGUUGCUCCAACUUUCAUGGCCACAAAAACUAGUUUGGAAGAAUGCCUGCCCUGUGAGUUCUGCUAUACUUACAGACAUAAUUCCAACGGUUUUAGAAUCUUUAGAGUGUUUUCUAUCCAAUAAUAAUUUUUAUUUGCAUAUAUUAGCAAUUUUUGACAGAUUACGUUGCGUUAUGGUAAUGAGCUUGAGUCUGUAUUCACGAACCCGGAUCCGGGAUGGGGAGAUCAGAAAGGUUAACAAAAGUCUAAGCUGUGUUUCAAUAUAUUUCACUUGUGAUUUCAUGAAUAUGAAUAUUUUCUAGUAAUAUUUAUGUCCAUUGCGUUAUGCUAAUUAGUGUCAGUUGAUGAUUACGCUCCCGGAUCCGAGAUGGUUAGUUAAGCAAUGGUCCCUUUAAGGAUUUUGGCGAGAUGUUAUCCACUUACAUUCUGGUCCUGGUUUGGUCACAGUAUAACGUUAUAAUAAGGUGUCUUGAUUUCCAUUAGGAAACAUUACAAAAAGGUUCCUAUUUGGUUCUGAUAGGAUGUUAUCUAUGGAACAUUCAAUAACCACAAGGGGACAUUUCAUGAUGGUCAAGGGGACGUCACAUGAUGGUCCUAAGAGAACGUUCUCUCAGGGACCUUUGUCUAGUUCCCUGUACAUUACCAGUACGUCACUGAGGACCUUGUCAUGAACUUUUUAGGACGUCCUCAUUUCUAUAAUUCUACUAGUCCUCUACAAGACCAUAACACAACAUCCCAAGCACAAACUGGGUGCUAAUCAAAACCUCCAUGACACAACGUUCUGACGACUUUAGGCAACCAUUUCGUUACGUUCCGGGGACAUCCUAACCACUCUGAGUUUUUUGCAGGAUGCCCUCUUCUUUCAUAACCACCCUUGAAGCACACCCCCUCACCAUAAAUCUCCUUUUUUUGUGAUGAAUGCUAUAGUCUCUUCUGAGUCUGCUUUUUGUUAACAACACUCCUCUCUGCCAGUGAGUCAUGAGGCAUAUCUGAAAGGCAUGUUUCAGGCCCUGAUAUGAACUUGAUACAGGUGUAGGCACUUCAGUUCAAUUCAGGCCUUAACUGUAUAUCAGUAGACUGCGAUGUCAGUGGUUUCUCUCUUAGACAUGGCGGUAAAGACUAGCAUGUGAUUAAAGACAAUUUCAAUGUGCAGAAAAGUUCUAAAACUCACAGCUCAAGAAGGAAUUUAAAACAUGUCUCAACUGUCAGAGAAUGAAGUGCACAUUUUCAUAAUCCAUUUGUAUUCUUCCUGGGCCAGUUGUUGCAUUUGGAAUAUAUCUGGUGUUAAAUGCCUAAUCCAGUAGUGUUUUUUUUUUUGGCACCAUCGGUCAGACAUCUUUGAUCCAGUCGGUUUUGACAGGAAAAACAAGAGGUUUCAGUAAUUUGACGCACUGCAGCUGAACUCGGCUCUUUUCCUCUUAGUCAUUUACACAGUCUAUUACAUAGCAAAAAUAGCCAGGGUGCAAGCUGUGUGUGGAGAGAUGAGAUGAAGGACUUACCUGUGAAAGGUUAUGUUAUGUUUUGUCCUUUACUCCCUAAAGACUUGACAUGAGUUACCUAAUUUGUUUCUUUCCACUAAUAUCUUCCUUGAUUCAAGGUUGAGGUCUCUAAGGCCACAAAGACCCGAAAAUCCAAGAUCUGACCCGGGACCUGAGCGGGUCCUAAAUUCUGAAUUUUGUCUCUAAUCUGGAUUGAGUCUAAUGUAAUUGCCACGGGCCUCGGCCAGGUGUGUAAUUAAAAUAUAUUUAACAACUGGACACGAUUUUACCCUUCCUCUGUUAAUUUAAUGUGUGAGGUGAUGAGUGUCAGCUUUUUAUCUGUGUCAGCCAAUUCCAACUCAAUGAAAUGUAUAACUUAUGUCCAGCUGAAAAUGGUUCUGGCCACUCAUCUCAUGUGAGAGAGAGAGCGAGUGAAAGGAGCCUUGGCCUAGGCCCUAGGCUACUGUUGAUUGCGAAGAUGGAGAACUUUUUUUCAAACAACAAUCUUAAGUACCUUGUUGACCCAGUAAAGUGUCACACCUUGAACUAGAGGUCUUCACAGGUCCAAAAAGUUGGACCUGUUCUGAAAUGGACCCAAGGACAGUCAGAACCAUUCAUAACAGACCUGUACCGGUACAGAUCCAAGAUUAGAAAGAGAGAUAGAAGGAAACAGACUGGGUGCAGCCAGCGUCAUCAAUAAACAAGCAAUAUAAGCCAAAUUAUCCUACAUGUCCUGAAAACUGCAUAUAACAAAUUACUACUUUUUGGACCCGUGAAAACCUCUGUUUAAGGUGUGACACUUUACCGGGUCUACAUAGUACUUAAUAGGCCUGUAUUCUUCCCACGUUUAACAGAUAUCUUGCUCAUCUACCCCUCUUCUGACCAAUUAGUCUGUACAAUGUUUGUUUAUACACACACAGUAGUCUAAGUCUAUAUGAGGGAUUGGUAAAAGGUGGGAGAGAUGUGAAGGUAAUAUGUGAGCUCAUGAUCAUUACACUCAGAGCUUAAACUCAUCAUUUGAACCAUCAAAUCUCUCUCUCUUGCUCUCUCACUUUAUUGAAUGUUGUGUGACAUUACAGAGGCUCAUCAUUUUUGUUAGAUACUCUCGCCAUGUUUUGACAGACAUCUUGCUUAUCUGGAUGACCUGUUCUACCCCUCUUCUGACCAAUUAGUCUGUAUAUAAAGUACACACAGAUUGUUGGUUGUGUGAAAAGUACAGAUGCUCAAUCUGUACUUGCAUGUUACUUGCGUCUAUUAUUUGCAUGUUCACUAUGAACUAUGGAACCUUAAGAUACAAUAUGUACCUACUGUAAUGACAUCUGCCUGUAUGGACGGUUUUAUCAUUGCUGCUAAUAAAUGGGCAAAAGACCCAACCAAGAAUCUGUUUGGAAAGCAGUUUGUUGUGCAUGCAUUUAUGACCUUGCAAUCUCACAUAUGCUAGAGUAGCUAUCAGGAAGGUUCACCGACACACACACACACACUGCGUCGUCUAAGGGAUGGGUAAAGGUUUGGUGAGGCUUGCAUAUAAGGUGUAAGGUGUGGAAGGAUAUGUGAAUGGACAUUUCCCAAUUGAAAGUCUAUGGCCAUUUGAAUGCAUUGAUUUGUAUGUACUGCUAUGGUUUAAAAAGUAGAAAUAUUAUCAACAAGAUUUUCUCAGGUGAUCUACUCUAAAGCAGUCUUUCAUGUUAGUUAGGUGUCUGUAGCUUAAAGGUUUUAGAGCAGGGGUGGUCAGAAGACAAAUAGUAUGAGUAUGUCGUGUCUGUAAAAGCACACUAAAACCCUAAAAGUAUUACCUCUGGUUAGUUCAGUGGAUGUGUAUGAUUCAUUUCAUUAGUAGGUGAAAAUAAAUAACUUAUGUGGAAAAAUACUAAAUGUCAACAAUUGUCAACAAUGUAUUGCAAACACCAUAAAAUAUGAGCAAAUU
rnacentral:lncRNA from 13 species